UGCAUGAAGUUGGAAUCACUAGUAAUCGCGGAUCAGCAUGCCGCGGUGAAUGCGUUCUCGGGCCUUGUACACACCGCCCGUCACACCAUGAGAGUCGGGAACACCCGAAGUCCGUAGCCUAACCGCAAGGGGGCGCGGCCGAAGGUGGGCUCGAUAAUUGGGGUGAAGUCGUAACAAGGUAUC
rnacentral:rRNA from 1 species